CCAGUGAUGACCACAAUAAAUUCUUCUUAUUUAUUUUAUUACAUUUCGUAUCCAAUUUAAUAUACAAUAGUGGAACAGCUCAGGUAUAAACGAGAGUCUCAGGAACAAGAAGAGUCAAAUUGAAAACCUUCGAGAGGGGCUAUGUCACUAGCUCAGUUAUAACUUAUCUUUCAUUGACAUGGUAAAACAAUUGUUUGCUUUCAUCAUUUGAACGUGUUUAUAAUUUUUAUUUUAUCGGUCUGAGUGAGAGAUGUCACAUUGUUUACAACACAUCCAAAUCCACAGUUUGAUUCGUUCAUGCCUAGAGGUACUUUUUCUCAUCCAAAUCUGUAGUUUGUUCACAAAAUUGUGCUUACAAAACUAACCCAAAAGUACCUAGAGACAUUCACGCGCUUCAGAAUAAGUAAUUCCGUGAUAAAAGAAUCAAUUUUGUAGCUCCAAAUUCAAAACUGGAGCAAAACCUUGUGUGUGGAGCAAGCAACAACUACAUCAUGGCGAUUAUUGACAGGACCCGACUCAAAUUUCAUUUUGGAUCUGAGCCGAACCCUGUGCAUGUCUGCCACGCAUAGAGUUUGGCUUAGAUUCCAAAGUGGAAUUUGGGUCGGGUCCUGUCAACUAUGAUAAUUUGUAGUGACUGCUUCAACAAAACAACAAAACAAAAGAAGUUGGGUCGGCAACUACCACAACCCUUUCAUCCCAGAGAUAGCAAAACCACACGCACAUGGUUCGGCUUAGAUACCAAAGUGGAAUUUGAGUCGGGUCCUGUCAACUAUGGUAAUUUGUAGCGACUGCUUCAACAAAACAACAACACAACAAAACAAAAGAAGUUAGGUUGGCAACUACCACAACCCUUUCAUCCCAGUGAUAGCAAAACCAGCAACACAAUCAAGUAAAAGAUUCAUCUGCAACAUAAAGCCACCAAGAACCUACGAAAAACACAUAAAACAAACAAACAAAUUCCAAGAUCCAAACAGGUUUGGGCAAGAGGACCCAAGAUCCAAAUGGAUUUGGACUCCAAAAGUCUCCCAAACAAAUAAGGGAGGGAAGAUUGGAGGAGGGAGAGGAAGUUAGAGAGACGACAAUUGAGAGAGAGAGAAGAGGGGAAGAACUAGGAAAGAGAAGGGGAAGGGGGGAGGCAGAGAGAUGAGAGGAGAAGGAAAGGGGGUGAGAAGC
rnacentral:lncRNA from 1 species